AAAUUGAAGAGUUUGAUCAUGGCUCAGAUUGAACGCUGGCGGCAGGCCUAACACAUGCAAGUCGAACGGUAACAGGAAGCAGCUUGCUGCUUCGCUGACGAGUGGCGGACGGGUGAGUAAUGUCUGGGAAACUGCCUGAUGGAGGGGGAUAACUACUGGAAACGGUAGCUAAUACCGCAUAACGUCGCAAGACCAAAGGGGGGG
rnacentral:rRNA from 1 species